rnacentral:rRNA from 1 species
GAUGAACGCUGGCGGCGUGCCUAAUACAUGCAAGUCGAGCGAACGGACGAGAAGCUUGCUUCUCUGAUGUUAGCGGCGGACGGGUGAGUAACACGUGGAUAACCUACCUAUAAGACUGGGAUAACUUCGGGAAACCGGAGCUAAUACCGGAUAAUAUUUUGAACCGCAUGGUUCAAAAGUGAAAGACGGUCUUGCUGUCACUUAUAGAUGGAUCCGCGCUGCAUUAGCUAGUUGGUAAGGUAACGGCUUACCAAGGCAACGAUGCAUAGCCGACCUGAGAGAGUGAUCGGCCACACUGGAACAGAGACACGGUCCAGACUCCUACGGGAGGCAGCAGUAGGGAACCUUACGCAAUGGGCGAAAGCCUGACGGAGCAACGACGCGUGAGUGAUGAAGGUCUUCGGAUCGUAAAACUCUGUUAUUAGGGAAGAACAUAUGUGUAAGUAACUGUGCACAUCUUGACGGUACCUAAUCAGAAAGCCACGGCUAACUACGUG